CUUAUCAAGAGAGACCGAGGGAAUAGGCCCUAUGACGUCCGGCAACCGAGGAUUUUAUGAAGAUUAUAAAAACCAACGGUGCUAAUUCCUACAGAAUGUAUAUUCUGAAAGAUGAGG
rnacentral:ncRNA from 1 species